CCUGAGGGUGGGACAGGGGGUCUGAGAGGUGGGCUCCUGCUGGCGCUGCCCCUCCCCCACAAGUCUGUCUGUCCACAGCCCCAGGCCUCAGACAUAUCUGCUGUCCGUCAGUUCCCUGCCGCCCCCCCUUCCUUUUCCCUGCCUUUCACAAGCCACAUACAGAUGGCCUGAGGGCUUUUAUUUCCAGGGCUGGGGGAUAGGGGGACACAGGGUCGGUGGGUCCUACCUGCACAGACUGGCUUUAGUCCCUACUGCCUGUGCAUCCCUAAAGACUCCUGAAACAUCCUUCCCUGGACUGAACCUGCCUGGUGCUUCACCUGCAGCUCUUCCGGAGGACAGUGGGUGCAAUGGUGAGGGUCACCCCAAGAACAUGGAAACCCAGGAAAUGACGAUGUUCUUGAAGAACCAGAGCAGCUCUAAACAGAAACAUCCGUGCGCGCUCACUUGCAGGAAGGAGCAUGUGGAGGGAUACGUGGAGCCCUGGGAACAGUCCUGCGGGGGGGUGAGGAGUCAGCAGAACAGAGAAGGAAGCCGACUUGCCUGGGGACACACAGACAACUAGUGGCCAGAGCCGCACCAGGACUCAGUUGUCCUGCUGCACAUAGUUCUGGAGGCUUUGUAUUGUACUAGCUGUUUUGAUUGUCAAGGUUUGUUUUAAUUUAUAAAUGUAUGGUUGGGGCACUGAGCAAAAUUAAAGGAUGGUUUGUUCUGGUGAUGUCAUCCAUGUCUGCGAAUGCUAUCCUUUGGCGUAUCUAUAAGGCUGAGGGAAUUCAGAUGUCCCUUUCAGAGGCUUUUAUGACAAAGUCAGAUCUGGGGAUAACUUAAGGUUAUGCAGGGUAUCUGCCUUUUCUAGGAGGCUAAGAUGGUCCAUCCCCAGCCUUUCGGGGCCUUUGGAACCAAGUGUUGUGCUGGGAUCGUCUGGGACAUGGUGCUGAGCAGAAGUGUGCCUCUGCUCUUGUUCUCAGGGAACAGCUGAAGGAUGGAUGCAAAACAGGCUGACAUCUGAUUGGUGACAGUCUCCACAAUAUCAAAGCCUCAAAUUGUAAUAGGCUCCUUGCUUUACCAAAAGUCUCUAGAAAAUUUGCUAUAGCUGGUGGCGCUAGAGCCGUGAUAACAAGGGGAGGGGCUGUACUGGAGGCUGACUUGGUGACAGGAAUCUGGGGAAUUGAGCUUGGCCCCUGCAAGGAAGUUAAGCAGAAUUCAUGAAGGCUGUGGGGAAUUGAGGCAGAAGAAAGGACAUUAAUGCUGGAUGAUGGGAAAUCAGAAAGAAACCAGACCAGCAGUUACAAGCAAUAGCACUAACAAAAAAACCACAAAAAACAACUCCCAUCAGUUACUCAGGAAAGACGAUGAGGAAGUGAAGGAUGUUGCAAAAAUAUCUGAGUUCCCCACCAAAUUACUUUAUUAAAUCAGUCUUUAAUGAGGCCGUUGCAGGGAGGCAGAAUGGACCGGCAGAAGUAAUGAUGGCCGCGUGGGUACUACUCUUGCUAAGAGGCCACCCUGACAACUGAGCCGGGAUAAAUCAGCAAGUGUGGAUUACAUGUCUUCUGUUAUUAAGGACUCCGCUAAUGAAUUUACCAAACCUUCGGCAAUUAUUUGGAAGGUCGGGGAAUUAGGAAAGUGAUGCAUGGCCGAGGUUACUGAUCUUUAAAGCAAAAGUUAAAGGGACCCAGGGAACCGUGAGCUACGAUUAAACGUCUGAGCAAUGUGCAGAGUUUUCCACAUGCUAACUGCCAGGCUGGAACUUAGCUUUAAAUGCUGUAAAAUGUUGGGAUGUUUUAAUGAGCAGCUGCAGGCCAGAAUAGGGCCAUUGUUAAGCAUCCGGACCAGGCCAAAAAUCUGACAGGUUCACUCAAGGCAAGUGUCAAUUUUCUGAGUCUAUGUGUGUCUGUAGGAGAGUUCCACAGAGCAGCGACACUCCCAUACUCAAGAAAGACAGGCAAGGUUGAAAAAACAACCCGUAUGUCAGGUGAGCAAACUCUAAAAUGCGUGUUCUCAUCUAGCCCUACAGAACUGCCGAUAGGCAAUACAGUCCCCAUGUACAGAUGAGAAAAUUGAGGCUCUGAGAGGUUCAGUGCCUUUCCAAAAAACACAGAACUAACAAGUGGUAAAUCAAGAACUGGAAAUUAAGGACUGGUAAACUGAGGACUGCAAAAGUCUUUCUGGCUUUAUAUCUGGCACCCUUUCUGUACCAUGCUGGAAAGCUUGUGGUGGAUAAAGAAGGAUAUAAUAUAUGACUUAAAAGUCCUGAGUGCUUUCAAGUUGGCAAACUAAGAUGAAAAUUACACUCUGGAAGAUGCCAGGGACAAAUAGAGCUGAAAACAGUCUAAGGGCUAUUCCGUUAUUUAAAAAGAGAAUAAGGCCCGUUUCAUACAACUGCACUCGGAAUAUCUUGUCAUUUCCUGUCAUUGAGGACCUACGGUGUGAAGGAUUCUGAGUGGGUGUUCAUAGGGGAAGCAGAAAUAGAGAGCAGCUAAAGACACAUAAAAGGUGUAUUAGACCUAUAAGACAUAUAAGAAAAGAUGAGCACAGGGAACACAUCUGUGCUAGAACAAAGUCUGGAAAGGAAUGUGGCAAUGUGAAGUGUUCUCUCUAAAUGGUCAGAGUAACUGAAUUUUCUUCUUUUUUCUUUGCAUUUUAAAAGUCAUCUAUCAUUAACAAGUAUUUUUUUUUAAUUUGGAAAAAUUACUAAAUAGAAGCAUAAGGCAAGACGGGAGCUUGUGUAUAAAGUGUGCUGAUGACAUCAAGGGAGGGAAAAGGAGGGGGCCAUCCUGGAAGGAGCAGGAGAGAUGGGAGCAGAGCGAGCUUGAGGACACGGAAGUGCAGGCAGUGUCACAGGUGCAGGGCUGGAAGGGUGCCGGAGGUCAGAUUUUAGAGGACUUUACAGGACAGCAUGAGUCGGUAGUCCUGUUCGGGAAGUCAGGGCCUAGGGAGUCUGGGCAGAGGGUCAGUGAGGGUCCCGGUUCCUGGAGGGGCCCGCCGGCACAUUAGGGUGUCCGGGUCUGGAGUGGGGGCAAAAAUGUGAGGGGUCGGAAGGACCGGUCCGGCGGACUGGAUGGGCUGCAGAGGGGUUGCAUCCUCUGCACCGGGACCUGCCCUGGCUGCCUCUGGGACUGUGGUCUCAGGGGUAGGGCUUGGAGGUGGGGGGAGUGAAGAGCGGGGAACAGGCAGGAGGCCUGGAGCCACAGGGGGGCAGGCACAUGUCUAUGCCUGGUGGUGGUGUUGCAGGGUGGGAACCCGACAGCUGGGUGCUAGGCCGGGAAUGGGCUGUGUGUGCAGCGAGGACAGAAUACAAAUGCCCACCUGUGGACUCUUAAGUGUCUGUUGCUGCGCUUGGUUUGAUGAUGAACUGCCACCUGAGUCCUGGUGGGCUGAUAUCUGGGUGCCCGAGGGGCCCCUCUCCCCAGAGGCCUGUGGAGACGGUGGGCAGAGCCUGUCCAUCUCCCUGGACUGACUGUGUCCUGUGGAACACCGCAGACCUUGGAGACUGGGCACAGGAGGCUGUGGGGUCGGCGGGGCUCCCCCAGCCUGGAGCCUGUCUCGAGGUCACCUAGAAGCAGCAAUGGUAUGUCCGAACACAAGUGGUCUCCUUACCAGCUACUCGCCUGCUGUCACCCACCUGGGCAGCGUGACCAGGCGCGUGUUCCCAGAGCAAUGAAAGUGGAGCCCAAAGGCUCCAGGAGAAAAGCUGCUUCCUAGUUAUUCAGCUUCUCCAACUGACAGAUCUUUUCAGGUAGGAGAUCUUUUGUUUCCCCCAAGAGAGGGCCCCUGUGCCAGCCCUGAGGACAGCUUUCACAGUCCCCUUGGCGUCAGCAGCCAUUGUCCUCCUGUUCCCGGACCUGCCAUUCUUCUAACCUUCAGCUGCACAGAGAUGGGAGAAGGUGGGAAAAGGGCCUUUUAUAACCAAAUUAUCUCAGUGCAUUCAUCUGCCAUUAUGUUAAUGCAUCGUGAAGCCCGGCAGAUGGUACAAAGUCAAUUAUGCUGGUGUUAAAAAGGGAGAAAUUGACCUUUUCAGGACUCACUUGGAUUCCAGAGCAGAGUUUGCAAACUCAGGUUUCAGGCCUGGCAUGUGGGUGAAGGUGCUUCGUGCUUCGGAAGGGGAGAAGGGAUGGGUCAGGGUGGUCAGCCCAGGGCUCCCUGCCUUUUGCUGGACCCCUCUCGUACCUGCAC